rnacentral:rRNA from 1 species
CGAACGCUGGCGGCAGGCCUAACACAUGCAAGUCGAACGAGAAGCUACCUUCGGGUAGUGGAUAGUGGCAGACGGGUGAGUAACGCGUGGGAACGUGCCUUUCGGUUCGGAAUAACUCAGGGAAACUUGGGCUAAUACCGGAUACGCCCUUCGGGGGAAAGAUUUAUCGCCGAAAGAUCGGCCCGCGUCAGAUUAGCUUGUUGGUGAGGUAAUGGCUCACCAAGGCGACGAUCUGUAGCUGGUCUGAGAGGAUGAUCAGCCACACUGGGACUGAGACACGGCCCAGACUCCUACGGGAGGCAGCAGUGGGGAAUAUUGGACAAUGGGCGAAAGCCUGAUCCAGCCAUGCCGCGUGGGUGAAGAAGGCCUUAGGGUUGUAAACCCCUUUCAGCGGGGAAGAUAAUGACGGUACCCGCAGAAGAAGCUCCGGCUAACUCC